ACCGUCUGAUCAAGCUGAGAUGAGAUCUCAGCCAUUUAAACUACAUAUUUUCUUCUGGAAGCAGAGGUUACCGGAGGUUACAGGCAGGUUGGAGGUUUGAGUUUCCAGUUUCGCAUUUUAUCUGCCAUCCAAAAUCUCGGAAUGAUUACAGCCUCUCUUCAUCAUAUGCAUGAUCCUUUUUUUCCCUCUGUAGUUUCAGCCUCUGAAGUUAGCCAUUAAUCAUCCCUCUGAUCUGAGGCCUAGCGAACAAAUUGAGGUCCGCUGUAACCGUAAGGUUGCCACUGCUCAUAUUACUGAAAAUCGCACAUUCAUAUUAUUACGAGUAAAGUGAGUUCAUAGUAUUACUUUCCUAUGUGCACAUACGUAGGUUUAUAUUGAAGUUAAUGACAUUCCCAGAUUCAUACCUCACCGAAGAUCCUUUCAGAAAAGAGAGUAAAAUCUCAUCAUACAUGUGAAGAAAUAUCUCAAAACCAUCAAGCUCAUGAACAAUUAUUGCGACAUCUUCAGGCUCAAAAUCAUGAGUUUGCUAGCAUCUUCAAUAUAGAGGACUACAGAGGUAACUUUUUCAUUUAGAUACGCGAUAUGGUUUACCGUGGGGACACGGAGAGGUCCCGUAAGCCGGUGUUAUGCCCCUCCAUGGAGAAACCCGAUGGGUUCCGAUCCGUGUACGGCCUCACAGCCGUGCCUACAGCUACCCAAUCCCAAUCAUGUUAAAGGCGGCACAAUGGGCGGGCUCGGUGGGUUAUUUUUUAUAUGGUCCGAUUGGGUUGAACGGUAAACACGUUUU